UCUCACAGGAUUUCCCAAAUCUCCACUAAUCUUCAAGCAACCAAGUGAUUACAAGCUCCUAUAAUCACUACCUCUUGCAACAACUCUACUACAAGACAAGUGUAGUAACUCCACCACACCUCAGCUGACUAACUCUAGUCAAUGAUCCUAGAUAACUCUACCUAGGACUCAACACUACCAAAAUAGUAAGUUAAACUUGACCAACUUACAAACGACUCGAUCAAUUACUUAUAACUGAUGCGACUCAAACUAAGACUUGGACAAGCUAAAAUAUCUACUAUCCUUUAUAUAUCAGGAGUAGAUUUACAAUAUGAUAGCAAAACACUAACAACUCAAGACCCCACA
rnacentral:lncRNA from 1 species